UACAUGGGGUGCAACCGUUGCUCGGAAUUAUUGGGCGUAAAGCGCGCGUAGGCGGUUACUCAAGUCGGAUGUGAAAGCCCUCGGCUUAACUGAGGAAGUGCACCCGAAACUGAGUAGCUAGAGUACCAAAGAGGGUCGCGGAAUUCCCGGUGUAGUGGUGAAAUGCGUAGAUAUCGGGAGGAACACCAGUGGCGAAGGCGGCUUUCUGGCCUGUUCUUGACGCUGAGGCGCGAAAGCUAGGGUAGCAAACGGG
rnacentral:rRNA from 1 species